AGAGUUUGAUCAUGGCUCAGAAUCAACGCUGGCGGCGUGCCUAACACAUGCAAGUCGAACGAGAAAGCGGGGGCAACCCCGUGAGUAAAGUGGCGACCGGGUGAGUAACACGUGACUAACCUGCCCUCAAGUGGGGAAUAACCUCGGGAAACCGGGGCUAAUACCGCAUAACAUCGCAGCCGUGAAGGCGGCGAUCAAAGCAGCAAUGCGCUGGAGGAGGGGGUCGCGGCUGAUUAGCUAGUUGGUGAGGUAACGGCUCACCAAGGCGAUGAUCAGUAUCCGGCCUGAGAGGGCGCUCGGACACACUGGAACUGAAACACGGUCCAGACUCCUACGGGAGGCAGCAGUGGGGAAUUUUGCGCAAUGGGGGAAACCCUGACGCAGCAACGCCGCGUGGAGGAUGAAGUCCCUUGGGACGUAAACUCCUUUCGAACGGGACGAUUAUGACGGUACCGUAUGAAGAAGCCCCGGCUAACUUCGUGCCAGCAGCCGCGGUAAUACGAGGGGGGCAAGCGUUGUUCGGAAUUAUUGGGCGUAAAGGGCGCGUAGGCGGCGCGGUAUGUCUCCUGUGAAAUCUCCAGGCUCAACUUGGAGCUUGCAGGGGAAACUGCCGUGCUUGAGUACUGGAGAGGUGAGUGGAAUUCCCGGUGUAGCGGUGAAAUGCGUAGAUAUCGGGAGGAACACCUGUGGCGAAAGCGGCUCACUGGACAGUAACUGACGCUGAGGCGCGAAAGCUAGGGGAGCAAACAGGAUUAGAUACCCUGGUAGUCCUAGCCCUAAACGAUGGAUGCUUGGUGUGAUCGGUACCCAAUCCGAUCGUGCCGGAGCUAACGCGUUAAGCAUCCCGCCUGGGGAGUACGGUCGCAAGGCUGAAACUCAAAUGAAUUGACGG
rnacentral:rRNA from 1 species